GAGUGUAGCUCAGGGGUAGAGCAUCACCUUGCCAAGGUGGGGGUCGAGGGUUCGAAUCCCUUCACUC
rnacentral:tRNA from 1 species